rnacentral:rRNA from 1 species
GUGGGGAAUCUUGCGCAAUGGGCGAAAGCCUGACGCAGCCAUGCCGCGUGAAUGAUGAAGGUCUUAGGAUUGUAAAAUUCUUUCACCGGGGACGAUAAUGACGGUACCCGGAGAAGAAGCCCCGGCUAACUUCGUGCCAGCAGCCGCGGUAAUACGAAGGGGGCUAGCGUUGCUCGGAAUUACUGGGCGUAAAGGGCGCGUAGGCGGACAGCUUAGUCAGAGGUGAAAGCCCAGGGCUCAACCUUGGAAUUGGCUUUGAUACUGGCUGUCUUGAGUUUGGGAGAGGUGAGUGGAACUCCGAGUGUAGAGGUGAAAUUCGUAGAUAAUCGGAAGAACACCAGUGGCGAAGGCGACUCACUGGCCCAAUACUGACGCUGAGGCGCGAAAGCGUGGGGAGCAAACAGGAUUAGAAACCCGGGUAGUCC